rnacentral:rRNA from 1 species
CCUACGGGCGGCAGCAGUCGAGAAUCAUUCACAAUGGGGGAAACCCUGAUGGUGCAACGCCGCGUGGGGGAAUGAAGGUCUUCGGAUUGUAAACCCCUGUCAUGUGGGAGCAAAUUAAAAAGAUAGUACCACAAGAGGAAGAGACGGCUAACUCUGUGCCAGCAGCCGCGGUAAUACAGAGGUCUCAAGCGUUGUUCGGAAUCACUGGGCGUAAAGCGUGCGUAGGCUGUUUCGUAAGUCGUGUGUGAAAGGCGCGGGCUCAACCCGCGGACGGCACAUGAUACUGCGAGACUAGAGUAAUGGAGGGGGAACCGGAAUUCUCGGUGGAGCAGUGAAAUGCGGAGAUAUCGAGAGGAACACUCGUGGCGAAGGCGGGUUCCUGGACAUUAACUGACGCUGAGGCACGAAGGCCAGGGGAGCGAAAGGGAUUAGAUACCCCUGUAGUC